GAUGAACGCUGGCGGCGUGCCUAAUACAUGCAAGUCGAGCGAACAGACGAGGAGCUUGCUCCUCUGACGUUAGCGGCGGACGGGUGAGUAACACGUGGAUAACCUACCUAUAAGACUGGGAUAACUUCGGGAAACCGGAGCUAAUACCGGAUAAUAUAUUGAACCGCAUGGUUCAAUAGUGAAAGACGGUUUUGCUGUCACUUAUAGAUGGAUCCGCGCCGCAUUAGCUAGUUGGUAAGGUAACGGCUUACCAAGGCAACGAUGCGUAGCCGACCUGAGAGGGUGAUCGGCCACACUGGAACUGAGACACGGUCCAGACUCCUACGGGAGGCAGCAGUAGGGAAUCUUCCGCAAAGGGCGAAAGCCUGACGGAGCAACGCCGCGUGAGUGAUGAAGGUCUUCGGAUCGUAAAACUCUGUUAUUAGGGAAGAACAAAUGUGUAAGUAACUAUGCACGUCUUGGCGGUACCUAAUUAGAAAGCCACGGCUAACUACGUG
rnacentral:rRNA from 1 species